UUAGUUUAAAAUGCAAAAGUCCUGCUGAAAGCUGUGUAUGUCUCUUACCUGCAUAUGAAUAUACAGGAAGUUCAUCCUUUUCAAGACAGUGCAGUCAGUGAAGUCCUCACCCCAGAAGGGAUUCAAAUACAGGUGAUGUGAGGUGUAGUUGGUGAAGUCAGUGGGACUGGAGAUGUGCUGAGCAGCUCCAGGCCUGGAGUUCUCCUCACAGCCAUAGUGGAGCAGCAGUGAGCAUCACUUCUAAGGGCUGGAGGUCAGAUGUUGAGUCAUCCUCCUUCCAAACCUCCCACGGGCCACCUCCCAAGCACCUUGCUUCAGGCUAUUUUGGAACAUGUGGAGUAAGAGUGAAUAAAAACAUCA